ACGUGAGUGGGCGUGAGCACGUGGUGGGCAGGGCCGGCAGGGAAAAAGGGGAGGCGGCGACGUUCGUUUUCUUCAGCAGCGGUCUAGGCGCGGAACCCCGGCCUUCCACCGUCGACCGCGCUGUCCUCUCGUUUCUUGCCCUGCUCUCGUUGCCGUCCCCGCGCCGCUCCUUCGGAGAAAGUGCGGGCCUCCCCUCCGGCCCGACGCCAGGCGUGAUCCCACCGCGAAGGAAGCGAAAACGCCCGCCGCCCUUCUCGCAGCGCUGCUCUCCGCAGCCUGUUUGGCUUUUCUUAAUAACACACAGUUGAUUGAGCACCUUAUGAUGUAUCAAGUUACGUGCCAGGUACUGGGAAUACAAAAUUGAGUGUGACAAGCUCUUGGACCUCAAGGAGUUCACGGUUUAGUUGGAGAGAUCGACAGAAACUGAUACUUUAAAGACCAGUUUGGUUAAUGGAUGAAUGUAGUGAGAACAGCGGCUGAAAUGAGCACUGAAUUCCAUAGGAAUGCCUGGGAAAGGCGUUCGGGAAAGGGAGAAUGAGUCGUUUGCUUUCUCUUACUGAUGAAAUUGGCUUUGUCAGUGACGUGAGGUAAUUUCUUUUGACUAUGUUUAUGGUAUAUUUUUCCAUAGAGUUUUUUAGUGUAAAUGGUUUUUUUUUCUCAGAACUCCAGGGAUUUGCUUCCCACACAAGAUUUUCAGCAGCCUUAAUUGGGUUUCCUACUUCCACUGUUGCAUUUCUGUGAUAUGUUGCCCACACAGCAAAUCAGAAUGAUCUUUUCGGUUAGUUUUGGGGUUUGGUUUGUCAAAGGGUGAUGAGACAACCGUCCAACAUGUGAAUUAAAAAAGACAAAACUGGAGUUACUGCGUACUCUUGUAAGGGAGAGCUGUGUGGGUAUGCACAGUGUCACCAAGCAGAGCAGGCCGUGGAUCCUGUAUAGGACUUACAGGAAGUACAGGGUUCAGAGACAGGUACAUUUAGGAGGCAAAGGGUUGGGCGUCAUCUGUCUAACUGCACUGGCUAAUACCUCCAGUUCAGCGUUAGAUAGCAGUGGAAAUAGUGCACAUUCUUACCUUGGACCUGGGUAAAUGCUAAACAAACAAAAAAGGGGGAGACGGGAAAGCUUUUCCUUACAGUGGAGACCCAACUAACAAAUGUAGAAGGAACGAUGGAGGUAAAACAUCACAAUUUAGCAACCAUCAUAGUACUGAUUCAGGCAAGAAUCAUCAAUGUUUGCUGAAAUUAGUGGGUGAAAUUUUGAGGAGGGGUAAGAUACAUAUAUAGUCUCAAAGUAUCUCUUCACAAGACACUUACUAAUUAUAAAAAGAAAAAAAUAAUGGAAAAACCUGGCACACGCACCACCUGAACCAGGUGAUCAAAGGUAAUAUGACCAGUACUGAGAUAAACUGACAUCAUGGGCCUCCUGAUAUUAUGCACUGAAAUGGAUACAGCCCUCUGUAGUAGACCUACCAAAAGCUCAUGCCUAGGGCUUCCCUGGUGGCGCAGUGGUUGAGAGUCCGUCUGCCGAUGCAGGGGACACGGGUUCGUGCCCCGGUCCGGGAGGAUCCCACAUGCCGUGGAGCCGCUGGGCCCGUGAGCCAUGGCCGCUGGGCCUGCUCAUCCGGAGCCUGUGCUCCACAGCGGGAGAGGCCACAACAGUGAGAGGCCCACGUACCGCAAAAAAAAAAAAAAAAAGCUCAUGCCUAAAUCUAACCAUGAGGAAACAUCAGACAAACCCAAAUCGAGGGACAUUCUACAAAAUAACUGCCCUGUACCCCUUAAAAAAGUCAAUGUCAUAAAAGACUAAGGAACUGUUCCUGAUUAAAGCAGACUAACGGGGCAUGACCACUGACUACAACAUGUGAUCCAGAAUUUCUUUAGUUGUAAGAAGCAUUAUUGGGUCAGUUGACAAAAUCCGAAUAAGGCCUAUGAUUAGAUAAUUUAUACUCUAUCAAUGUCAUUUCCUUAUUUUGACUAUCACACUGUGGUUAUGAAAGAGAGAAUACUUCCUUUUAGAAAACACACUGAGAUAUUUAGUACCAAGUUACCUGAAGCUUACUUUCAAACAGUUCCAAAAAAUGUGUGUGUGUAUGCAUACAUGUAUGUAUAUGUGCAUAGGUAUGCAGAGGGAGGGAAAGAAAUCAAAUGUAAAGUGUUAACAUUUAAGGGAUCUGGGUACAGGAUAUAUGGGAAUUCUUUGUACUAGUCUUACAACUUUUAUGUAGGUCUGAAAUUAUGUCCACCAGACUUUAACCUCAUGAGAGCCUUGUGCAUCUUUGUAUUUCAAACACCUUGCACAGGACCCAGCUUGAAAAAAUGCUGAAGUGGAUGGAUGAGGCUCUUAAAUCCGGGGAGAGUUGCACCAGCUCGUGGUGUAAUAAGGAAAGCAUACUGCCAUGGAAAAGCCCAUUCCUGCCUGUACAAUAAGCAUGCUUAUUCUACCUUCAUCGACCUUUUACGAGUCAAGCAAGUCACACUUAAAAUUACCGAGUGAUGGAAAAAUAGGAAUGAGGGUAUAGGUGUAGAUUUUAUCAUCUGGCCAGGACACAAGGCCAUUAGAUUGAUCAGCUGGUUUCAUUGGUGUGGGGAUGGCUGUAGCCUCUGGAGCAAAGUUAGCCCCACAGGCAGAGAAGAGGAUAGGGUUCUCUCAAAAAUCUGAGUUCUAGAUUCAGCCUUCACCUGCCUUUGCUUCCUACCACUCAUCCUGAGGGCUGUGUGGGUCAAAACAUUCCCCUAAACCCAUCCUAUUCGGAAGCCAAGCUGGAAACCAUAUAGUCCUUGUCAGUGUCUUCUUUCCCUCCUGGGUCUGCCCCAAACCCACCUCUCCCCACCAGCAGUGUGAGUUUCUAACGUGGAACAAGCAGUAAUAAGUGAGCUUGAUCUCAAAGAACAGAGAAGAGUGAGGGAGGAGGAAGAGGAGAUUGAAGGUAUUUCAGGCAAAAGCAACAUCAUAUGCAAAGGCUUAGAAAGAUAUUCAAAAGCACAUCAACUGACAUAUCAGCUUCAUCCAAUUCUGUGUGGAAUAUGUGCCAAGGAAAGCUUUGGAUAUAAUAUAAAUAAUUUUUAGGUUGAUUUAAGUCCUGGAACUAGAAUUUAAGUCUGGUUUUUCCAUUUAUCAACUCAUAACAAAUAUUUUAUAGGUCUCUGGUCAAGUUUAUAUGAUCAGAAUGAAAAUUUUGUAGAUCCUUAUUUGAAUGAGGUACCAAUUUUUAAAAGAAAAAUAUGUGGUUUAGUAGUAUAAGAUUGCCUUUAUACUUUAGAGUUUAAUUGGCAAAACUCGUGGACCAGAUCAUGAAAAGGCAUCCACUAGGAGGUCUGGGGAGCCUUAGCUAAUUCACCUACUAAUCAUUCUUCUUUUCUUUUCUUUUUUGACAUUACCAUCGUGACCUGAGAACCUGUGUCUUUCACACAUUUUGCCUGUUACCUUGCCUUUGACUGUCCCUGGUAUGGAGAAAGCUCUUCCUUCACCUCUCAGCUCUGGGACUCAGCAUGUGACGAUGUGGUGUCUGGAGCUGUGACAGCCAUUCUGAAAUUAUGGAACUACUGGUCAGUCUAUGGACAAAAAGCCAAACAGCUGAGGAGAGCUGUGUAGAAGGAUGGAGAGAGCCUGAACCCUUCAAGCCAUCCCUGAGACCUCCCACUCCACACCACUGCAGAGUCCACAACGUUAAUCAGUUUUCCUGUUGUUUGCAGCUGAAAGCAGCCCAACACCCACUGGGGCUGAAGCACUGAAGUAGAGUAAGGAAUACUUAGUCUUUAUAAGACCUAGAGGUGAUAAUUCUCAAGAAACCUACUACAUUACUCCUUGGAGGGGAAGAAGACUGAGUUCUGGAAGAUAAUUAUCUGCGUUAGACUGCCUCUGAAGGCAAGAAACAGAACCUCCAGCUUCAAGGAACAUAAUAAAUAAGCUCCAGGGUCAGCUGAUCUGGGUGCUCAACAGUGUCAUCAGGAACCCAGUCUCCUCCCCUCUCUCUGCUC